CAUACAAACAAACCUUCAAACACUUACCAACACAUUGUGCCGUGGAAAAGGAAGGGAAGGAAAGUGCUUGGACGUGCUUGCUGUCCAACUUGGAUCGUUGGAGCAUUUAGGUGUUUUCUUUCUUUUGUUUCCAAUGUUUAAAUUCAUUUUCUUUUGUUUUGUUGUGAAUAUGAGUGGCUAAACCCCUCUUGGCUAGGGGUGAUUUCAAAGCCAUGAUUAUGUGUGUAAUAUGAUUUGAUAAAUUCCAGUUAUGAGCUCUUGAAUCGUAAAUGCAGUUGGCUUAACUAUUUGAUUGAUAACUUAUUUGUAUUUGUUAAUUAAGGGUCGACACUUAAUUGGCAUGCAUAAAUCCGUUGCUAGAAUAUAAGGAAGUUUCACAUAAUCGUUACAAACUUAUAUUCACAUGUAGUGAAGGUCGCUUAUAAACGAUCGCGUUAAGUUCAAUUCCUAGCAUGAGUGACAUGAUGCCAUAGUUGCAAGUGCUUUGUCAAUGCUUAUGAUUUUCAUUAAACGUAAUGAUCUUUGAUUGUAUCUCUAUUAUGAUGUCAUGUAGGGAACUUUAGAAGAAUGUUUUGGGUUGUCGAAUGAUGUCAUCCAAUCCAAUAAAACAAGGAAAAUCUGAGAGUUAAUUAGUGAUGUCACGAUUAAUUUGGAGAAUUGUCAUUCAUAAUUCAAUGAAGUAGUAACUGGAAAUCGAGUUAUUUGCAUACAUGUCAUGUGUGGAGAAAAAGCCUCUAGCUAUCCCAUCCAUCAUCUUAUUUCUCAAAUUUGUUUUACAAUCUGUCUAGUUUUUCAUACUUGUUUGUUUGUUUCAACUUCGUCCAAAACUCAAUCCCCCCUUUACUUUAGUGUGUCUAAUUAUUUAUAAUUUGUUUUAAUUCAUGUUUUUAAAUGUUUUGAUUCAAGUAAAAGAUAAUUUUCGUCCAAAGUCAUUCCUAGUAUCUAGUUUAAGUUUAUUUAGUUGUUUUAAGUUGUUUUGAGUAUUUUAAGUUUGCUUUAAGUCUUGUGAGUCUUGUGAAGUAUUUUAAGUUUAGUUUUAUGUUUUUGAGUCAGUUUAGAGGUUAUUAGCAAGCCCUUCUAAUCCCCGGUCCAGAACGAUCCCUACUUAUACUUGUACUACAAUUGUCAAAAGAGGGUUAAACUUGUACUACACUUAUUAUUUCUUUUUGUUUAUUUUCAUGUGCUUUUGUUCCUAGUUGCUGAUUUUACUUGUUUUCUUGUUUUAGGUGGUUUAUGACUCGAAGUUCUCAACCUGUUCAUAAGCACAUCUUUGACUUUGACAACCAUUUUGAACGAACUUUGAGACGAGCAAGGAAUAAAAAAGAACCCCAAUCAUCUCAACCUGCACCAGAUCUUAAAGAAGACAAAGUAUAAGAGCAAGAGGAGGCCACGACAAGGACUUUUGAAGAAGUCCAAGAUAUGGC
rnacentral:lncRNA from 1 species